UAAAUAAAAAGUAUUUCAUAUAUAAUAAUUAUCUAUUUAAUAUAUAAUAAGUAUUUCAUAUAUAAUAAUUAUCUCAUUGAGGUUGUAGGUAUUACUGAUUCAGGUGCUUACAUUGAAGCUGCUUCUAAUGUGGUUCCGUUUUCGACGCCGCAACAAAUGCUUUUCAUCCGUCCGGCUACUUCGCCUCUUUACUUGAUUCUCAUCUUAAGGUCAUUGGAAUUUAUCCUCAUAAGAGUUGUGGAUGGUUCUAUUUUUGGUGUUUCACCUGGAACUAAUCCUCAGGCUACACUAAUGAUGCUUGGAAGGUGAGUUUUUUGUGGAUGGUUCUUUUUUUUUCUCUCUCUCUUUUGUUAAAAUUUUUUUAUUGAAGGAGUUUUCUAUCAACCUUUUCAUAAUAUCUUUUUACAAAAUUUGAUUCCUAGCUUUCUAUUUUGUUUUUUAAUAUCUAAAUCAAAUGUAAGAGUUUAUAUAAACAAUAAUGAAAAAUUGAUUUAAUAUCUGUUUGUAAGUACUAUAAGCACUACUCAAAUAUAUGAGUUUCCAAAAUCAAUACCAUUGGUAAACCUUCAACAGCAGGAAACUACUGUCUCAGGCCUUCUGCUGUAGGAACAUGAGUCUCACCACGCUAUUGUUGGAUAAAUAAAUCCAGCGUCACCCUUAGGGAUUCGAAUGGGCUUAACAUCCCAACCCAUGGCGCCUAGAGAGAGCUUACAAACCUCGCUUUAGGUGCAGCCCCUGAGGGCUCAUACUAUAAGGAAAUAAAGUUGCGCCCUCACUAACAGCAAUUGCUUUUAGCGCAGUGGUAAGCGCUUGAUCCUACAAGUGGUAUCAGAGCAUGGUCAUGGGUUCGAAUCCCCCCGGCUGACACUGGGGGGAGAUUGUUGGAUAAAUAAAUCCAGCGUCACCCUUAGGGAUUCGAAUGGGCUUAACAUCCCAACCCAUGGCGCCUAGAGAGAGCUUACAAACCUCGCUUUAGGUGCAGCCCCUGAGGGCUCAUACUAUAAGGAAAUAAAGUUGCGCCCUCACUAACAGCAAUUGCUUUUAGCGCAGUGGUAAGCGCUUGAUCCUACAUCUAUAAGCAAAUUUGUGCAGCUGCACAACAGUGACCGACAUGACUCCCUGGAAUUAAUCCUCCAACUUUUCUUGAUGGAGCUUAAGCUCUUGCACCUCUCACCAAAAGUUUAUUGGUCUGGGAAGUAAUGAUAAUGGGUCCAUAGAAUUAUUAAACAUAGAAAUGUGACUGUAGAAAACUUCAGUUGGGUUAAUACUUCUCUGCUUAAUCUGGUAUAUGAUUUUUCUUCUCCUGUUGUUUGGGGUGUUUUCGUUCUCUACUGCUAAAUGACUAAGUUAUUAUAUUCUAUUCUAACAGCUUCUAUGGCUAGGGUGACUGAAAAAAAUAAGACAGAACUUUAGCACACUUCACACUUAUUUCAAUUCAGAUGUCCAUUUUGUGAUUUUGAAAUUCAGCUUCCUCUGCCCUCCACUGAUUUCCAAGAGGAUCAUUGCUCUGCUCUAAAAUAUAUGGUAUAACCUUUAUGUUUCCUACAUUUCUUGAUUAUUUUAAAUUAAGCUAUAGUAACUUAUAUCUGUAACAAGCCAACUCAUGCAAGAGCCCUAUGAGAAUGAAGUGUGGACACUGGACACUACACUGGUCUACCCGUAAUUGAACCUUUUUUAAUAAGGAGGUGGCAAAGUUUGAAGUCGUAACCACGUAGUUAUUGAGACCGACGACAUUCCAUACAUGGAAAAUCCCAAAAGCUUAAUGUUUUAGGUGAGGACACCUAAAUGGCUUAUAUAUUAUUUGUCCAUCAUUUAACUUCUGAUAUAUGCAUGAGCCUGUAAUGUAUACAUCUAUAAGAUUCUUUGGACUGAUCUGUCAGCUAAUUUCAAAGGAUUGCUCCAGCUCUGUAAUAAAAAAGUGCUACACAAUGGAUGAUUCGACUGCACCUGCUUUUUCUCUAUUCCGGUAUGUUUCUCUGUCUAAUUCUUAAUUAGGUUCUAUGGCAUAUGGUGUGAGACAAAAAACUAUGAAUUUUGAGUUUUCUGCCCAUCGACUUUUAGAGAUUGAAAUUUUCUAUAUUUUAUAGGUACUUACGGUUUUUCCUACACACGUGAUUAGUCUUUUGUAAAUACAAGAUAUAGUAAUGUGUAAUCUCUUUAAACUACUGGAGAGUCGUCUAACAUAUUCGAGCAGCCUUGCAAAGUCGAAAGAACGACCUCAGAUAGGGCUGUAAGCAUCUUUCUCGAUAUGGACGAGUCUGGUGUAUGAGCAAACGAGUUGAUAUAUAAAUAAAUUGAACUUCAAGAACUUAAAGUUCAUCUCAAAGGUGGAGUCUAUAGCUAGAAGUACCAGUCUUUUUUGUGAACUUGGAAUUUAUUGUACAACUAUACUUGGAUAGUAACAAAAUAUAUAGAAUAUAAUGUUUCUGUUAGCA